CAGAAGAUAGUUUAACUAAAAUUGUAGCUUUGGGAGUUAUAGAUACAGGUGAAACUCCUGUUCUUCUGA
rnacentral:tRNA from 1 species